rnacentral:rRNA from 1 species
UUACCCGAUGAAAUUUAGCAAAUCUGUCAGCGGGGGAAAAUAAACUAACCGGGAUUCUCCUGGUAAUGGCGAGUGAAGGGAGAUUAGCCCAUCACCGGAGCCCAUCCAUGUUUGUGGAAAGGGCAAUGUGGGGAUUAGGCAUGGACCCGGGGACACCAACCUACUCGAAGUCCAAUUCCGUUUAUGGCUGGAUACUCCCCACAGCGGGUGAAAGGCCCGGACGGGUAGGUCAUGACAUUUGUUGUGUCCCUCAGUAAACAUGCCUUCGCGUCGGAUUGCUAGAGGGUGCGGUCCAAAUUGGGUGGUAAACUCCAUCCAAUGGGCUAAAUACUUGCGUGAGUCCUGAUAGUGAUCACGCGCUGUCCCA